rfam:Gentian ovary ring-spot virus genomic RNA, segment 1, complete sequence, isolate: S.
UCUGAUCCCUAGUGGGAUCGCUAACAAGACAAGUUAGUUGGAGGGGUGCGACUCCCCCCUUGCCCAGGCCGGGGCCC